rnacentral:tRNA from 2 species
GGAGGAGGAAGGGGCCCGGUGGCCCCACCGGUCUUCAAAACCGGCUUGGCGGCUAAUACUGUCGCCGGAGGGUUCGACUCCCUCCCCCCUCCGCCA